rnacentral:misc_RNA from 1 species
GAUGAAGAACGCAGCGAAAUGCGAUAAGUAAUGUGAAUUGCAGAAUUCAGUGAAUCAUCGAAUCUUUGAACGUACAUUGCGCCCGCCAGUAUUCUGGCGGGCAUGCCUGUCUGAGCGUCAUUUCAACCCUCAUGCCCCUAGGGCGUGGUGUUGGGGAUCGGCCAAAGCCCGCGAGGGACGGCCGGCCCCUAAAUCUAGUGGCGGACCCGUCGUGGCCUCCUCUGCGAAGUAGUGAUCUUCCGCCUCGGAGAGCGAUGAGCCCCUGCCGUUAAACCCCCAACUUUCCAAGGUUGACCUCAGAUCAGGUAGGAAUACCCGCUGAACUUAAGCAUAUCAAUAAGCGGAGGA